UCAGGAUCCCUUUGCACUUAAAAAUUAUUGAAUUCCCCAGUACAGAGAAGAUCAGCAUGGCCCCUGUACAAGGAUGGCAUGCAACUUCAUGAAGCAGUCCAUAUUUCU